rfam:Oryza sativa Japonica Group DNA, chromosome 11, cultivar: Nipponbare, complete sequence.
AAAAAAAUCAAACCUGGGUUUCCGUGUCCAACUUUGAUUGUCCGUCUUAUAUGAAAUUUCUUUAUAAUUCGUAUUUUUAUUGUUGUUAGAUGAUAAAACAUGAUUAAUAUUUUAUGCGUGACUUGUCUUUUUAAUUUUUUUCAUAAUUUUUUCAAAUAAGACGGACGGUCAAACGUUAGGCACGGAAACCAGGGUUUGUCUUUUU